rnacentral:rRNA from 1 species
UACGUAGGGCGCAAGCGUUAUCCGGAAUUAUUGGGCGUAAAGAGCUCGUAGGCGGUUUGUCGCGUCUGCCGUGAAAGUCCGGGGCGCAACUCCGGAUCUGCGGUGGGUACGGGCAGACUAGAGUGAUGUAGGGGAGACUGGAAUUCCUGGUGUAGCGGUGAAAUGCGCAGAUAUCAGGAGGAAUACCGGUGGCGAAGGCGGGUCUCUGGGCCGUAACUGACGCUGAGGAGCGAAAGCAUGGGGAGCGAACAGG